ACUUGAAGGUGUAGACACAAAGUAUUGGUCGUGCCAGAAUAGUCUGAACAAUGUUGUCUAGUGUCUGGAAAGAAAAUUAAUAUAGCAAUCCUGUCUGCAAGAUGAACAAAUUCCACAUGGAAGCCGUCAGGCGUUUAGUGGCAUUACAACAUGAGGAGCCACAUCAACCAUGAAUAAACAAUUUAGUGUAGGCUGCAGACUAUGAGAUAAACAUCACACAGAUAUGACAUUCUGUUCUGAUAUUGUAACUUAAGAACCUUGUUCUUUCCUCUUCCAUUUUUUGUUUAAUGCAGAUGUGUUCCUUGGGUGGUUCAUUCAGCAAAGUCAUACAGAUGUCCACACUUCUAUUCUUUGUGCUGACAUCAGUUAUUCGGUUGCAUUUUCUAAAAUGCUGCGUUGCAUAAAGGGUUCCUAUAGUGCAAGUAUGCAGUUUGACCUGCCAACCAGUGACAUCAAAAAAUUAUUGCCCGCAUUGUUCAUGGUAACCUCCUUUUGAUACCUAUGUAUGAUAUUGCUUCAACUUGGCUUAUUUUGUGAGGUGUGAGCAACUCCUCGCUCUGUUCGUUUGGCUUGUCAGCCAGCAGUACUGUUCUCUCAUACUAAAUCAGCAGCAGUCACCAACCAGUCAGCAGUACUGUUCUUUUAUAACAAAUCAGCACCAGCCACAAUCAUGGGCCUGGUGGUGCCUGGUGGUCAACUGUUCUUGGAUUCUGCCAGGCGUGUAUGGCUGAAGAUAAGUAUCUUCCACCCUGAAGUGUCAUGUGUUCCCCAUGCAUCUAAUCUUGCAACCAGAAAGAUGCCGUACAAACGUGUGCAGCUUAUCUUGAACAAAAGGGUCGCCCUGUGGUUUGCAGUUAUAAUCUAUGUGUCUUGCAGUUGCAGAAA